CCUACGGGAUGCAGCAGUGGGGAAUAUUGCGCAAUGGGCGAAAGCCUGACGCAUCGACGCCGCGUGAGGGAUGAAGGUCUUCGGAUCGUAAACCUCUGUCAGCAGGGAAGAACGGUCACUGUGCUAAUCAGCAGUGAAUUGACGGUACCUGCACAGGAAGCACCGGCUAACUCCGUGCCAGCAGCCGCGGUAAUACGGAGGAUCCGCGCGUUAUCCGGAUUUAUUGGGUUUAAAGGGUGCGUAGGCGGUUUGAUAAGUUAGAGGUGAAAUGUCGGGGCUCAACCCCGAAACUGCCUCUAAUACUGUUGGACUAGAGAAUAGUUGCGGUAGGCGGAAUGUAUGGUGUAGCGGUGAAAUGCUUAGAGAUCACGAAGAACUCCGAUUGCGAAGGCAGCCUACUAAACUGCCACUGACAUUGAUGCUCGAAAGUGUGGGUAUCAAACAGGAUUAGAUACCCCAGUAGUC
rnacentral:rRNA from 1 species